rnacentral:rRNA from 1 species
UACGGAGGGGGCUAGCGUUGUUCGGAAUUACUGGGCGUAAAGCGCACGUAGGCGGCUUUGUAAGUUAGAGGUGAAAGCCCAGGGCUUAACCCUGGAAUUGCCUUUAAGACUGCAUCGCUCGAAUUGUGGAGAGGUGAGUGGAAUUCUGAGUGUAGAGGUGAAAUUCGUAGAUAUUCGGAAGAACACCAGUGGCGAAGGCGACUCACUGGACACAUAUUGACGCUGAGGUGCGAAAGCGUGGGGAGCAAACAGG